rnacentral:rRNA from 1 species
UACGAAGGGGACUAGCGUUGUUCGGAAUUACUGGGCGUAAAGCGCACGUAGGCGGAUUUGUAAGUCAGGGGUGAAAUCCCGGGGCUCAACCUCGGAACUGCCUUUGAUACUGCAAAUCUCGAGUCCGAUAGAGGUGGGUGGAAUUCCUAGUGUAGAGGUGAAAUUCGUAGAUAUUAGGAAGAACACCGGUGGCGAAGGCGGCCCACUGGAUCGGUACUGACGCUGAGGUGCGAAAGCGUGGGGGAGCAAACAGG